UACGGGGGGGGCAAGCGUUGUUCGGAAUUACUGGGCGUAAAGGGCGCGUAGGCGCCUUCUAAGUCAGACGUGAAAUCCCUCGGCUCAACCGAGGAACUGCGUCUGAUACUGGAAGGCUUGAAUCCGGGAGAGGGAUGUGGAAUUCCAGGUGUGAGCGGUGAAAUGCGUAGAUAUCUGGAGGAACACCGGUGGCGAAGGCGGCAUCCUGGACCGGUAUUGACGCUGAGGCGCGAAAGCCAGGGGAGCAAACGGG
rnacentral:rRNA from 1 species